AUAGAGGAUCUUCGCUGGAGGGUGUGGCAGCUGGCUGCAGUUCUCACAGCUGGGUGCAAAUUCCAGAGCCAGGGUUCGCCUGAUGGUCAGCCUUACCGGUAGAGUCAACUCUUACGUACUCAGCCCCCACCUGCAUGCCUGCUCUCCAACCCUUCUAUCUAAAUAUCACCGCUCAACCAGCUCCCUUCACACUUGAACUCAUCUUUAUAGAAAAACAAUUUGCCUUUCUGGUCAUUACCAGGAUCACAAGCUCUCCUCAGAAUAAUCCUUCGACAACAAACAAUGCUGCAGAAGCCGUUAGUGAAGUCUUCCUAGUGCACCUUUUUUCAUUGCUGCUGCUUGUAAAUAAACCAUAUUUUAAGUUUAAUUUGGUCUUAGUUUGAUUUUGCAUGUGAUUUAGGAAGUGUCCUAGAAACA